CAGGAAGCCUCCAGGAUGGUCACUCAUUCCAAUAUAACACCACUCAGCUUCAUGCCACCUCAAACACCGCGUUUUGAAGGAAAGUCCAAGAGUUCAUGAAGGUCUUUAACUACCGGAAGGUCCGCUCACCGUUGGGGUGUAGACCGGCACAGUGCAUGGGAAAACCAGCAGGACUACCAAAGCUGAUCAUCCGACCUGCACCCUGGGACUCGUUUCUCUCCAGCAGAAUGUGCACAUCAGCCCUGUUCAUAAUGGCUUCAAAACUGCCUCCAUCUAUGGCAGGCUGGAUAAUACACUGUGUGUGUUCACAACACAGAGACCACCACAGAGAGCAAGGAGAAUGGAUGAUCUCCAGCUCUUCACAACAUGAAUGAAUCCCACAAGGCCGGGCGCGGUGGCUCAAGACUGUAAUCCCAGCACUUUGGGAGGCCGA